AGAGUUUGAUCCUGGCUCAGGACGAACGCUGGCGGCGUGCCUAAUGCAUGCAAGUCGCACGGAGAGCCUUCGGGCUCUGAGUGGCGCACGGCUGAGGAACACGUGGGAAUCUGCCCGACCGUGGGGGAUAACACGCCGAAAGGCGUGCUAAGCCCGCAUACGCUCGCAAGAGGAAAGCGGUAACGCGCGGUCGGAGGAGCCUGCGGCCCAUCAGGUAGUCGGCGGGGUAACGGCCCACCGAGCCGGUGACGGGUAGCUGGUCUGUGAGGACAGACAGCCAGACUGGGACUGAGACACGGCCCAGACUCCUACGGGAGGCAGCAGCAAGGAAUUUUCGGCAAUGGGCGCAAGCCUGACCGAGCAACGCCGCGUGGAGGACGACGGCCUUCGGGUUGUAAACUCCUUUUGCGGGGGACGAUUGUGACUGUACCCCGCGAAUCAGGCUCGGCUAACUCUGUGCCAGCAGCCGCGGUAAGACAGAGGAGCCAAGCGUUGUCCGGAUUGACUGGGCGUAAAGCGCACGCAGGCGGCUGGGCACGUGGGGUGUGAAACCUGGCGGCUUAACUGCCAGACGCCAUCCCAUACGGCCCGGCUCGAGGCAGGCAGAGGUUCGUGGAAUUGCCGGUGUAGUGGUGAAAUGCGUAGAGAUCGGCAGGAACACCAAGGGCGAAAGCAGCGAACUGGGCCUGUUCUGACGCUCAGGUGCGAAAGCGUGGGGAGCGAACCGGAUUAGAUACCCGGGUAGUCCACGCCGUAAACGAUGGAUGCUCGGCGUGUGGCGGCUAUCAACGCCGCUGGGCGCCUCAGCUGACGCGGAAGCAUCCCGCCUG
rnacentral:rRNA from 1 species